rnacentral:rRNA from 1 species
AAGAGCUCGUAGGCGGUUUGUCGCGUCUGCCGUGAAAGUCCGGGGCUCAACUCCGGAUCUGCGGUGGGUACGGGCAGACUAGAGUGAUGUAGGGGAGACUGGAAUUCCUGGUGUAGCGGUGAAAUGCGCAGAUAUCAGGAGGAACACCGAUGGCGAAGGCAGGUCUCUGGGCAUUAACUGACGCUGAGGAGCGAAAGCAUGGGGAGCGAACAGGAUUAGAUACCCUGGUAGUCCAUGCCGUAAACGUUGGGCACUAGGUGUGGGGGACAUUCCACGUUUUCCGCGCCGUAGCUAACGCAUUAAGUGCCCCGCCUGGGGAGUACGGCCGCAAGGCUAAAACUCAAAGGAAUUGACGGGGGCCCGCACAAGCGGCGGAGCAUGCGGAUUAAUUCGAUGCAACGCGAAGAACCUUACCAAGGCUUGACAUGGGCCGGACCGGGCUGGAAACAGUCCUUCCCCUUUGGGGCCGGUUCACAGGUGGUGCAUGGUUGUCGUCAGCUCGUGUCGUGAGAUGUUGGGUUAAGUCCCGCAACGAGCGCAACCCUCGUUCCAUGUUGCCAGCGCGUAAUGGCGGGGACUCAUGGGAGACUGCCGGGGUCAACUCGGAGGAAGGUGGGGACGACGUCAAAUCAUCAUGCCCCUUAUGUCUUGGGCUUCACGCAUGCUACAAUGGCCGGUACAAAGGGUUGCGAUACUGUGAGGUGGAGCUAAUCCCAAAAAGCCGGUCUCAGUUCGGAUUGGGGUCUGCAACUCGACCCCAUGAAGUCGGAGUCGCUAGUAAUCGCAGAUCAGCAACGCUG